AUUUAAAUAGCUUAUAAAGAGCAUAAUAUUGAAGAUAUUAAGGAGAUUGUAAAUCUUUAGAUA
rnacentral:tRNA from 1 species